AGUGAACGCUGGCGGCAUGCCUAACACAUGCAAGUCGAACGGCAGCACAGUAAGAGCUUGCUCUUACGGGUGGCGAGUGGCGGACGGGUGAGGAAUACAUCGGAAUCUACUUUUACGUGGGGGAUAACGUAGGGAAACAUACGCUAAUACCGCAUACGACCUACGGGUGAAAGCAGGGGAUCUUCGGACCUUGCGCGAUAGAAUGAGCUGAUGGCGGAUUAGCUAGGUGGCGGGGUAAAGGCCCAGCAAGGCGACGAUCCGUAGCUGGUCUGAGUGGAUGAUCCCUCACACUGGAACUGCGACACCGUCCAGACUCCUCGAGGCGGCCGCGUUGGGCAAUUUUGGCCAAUGGGCGCAAUCUUGAUCCAGCCAUUCCGCUUUGGUGAAGAAGUCCUUCGGGUUGUAGAGCGCUUUUGUUGGGUAAUACCGUCAGCAGCUUACUCCCCCGCUGUUCUGACGGUACCUAAAGAAUAAGCACCGGCUAACUUCGUG
rnacentral:rRNA from 1 species